rnacentral:rRNA from 1 species
GAUGAACGCUGGCGGCGUGCCUAAUACAUGCAAGUCGAGCGAACGGACGAGAAGCUUGCUUCUCUGAUGUUAGCGGCGGACGGGUGAGUAACACGUGGAUAACCCACCUAUAAGGCUGGGAUAACUUCGUGAAACCGGUGCUAAUACCGGCUAAUAUUUUGAACCGCAUGGUUCAAAAGUGACAGACGGUCUUGCAGUCACUUAUAGAUGGAUCCGCGGUGCAUUAGCUAGUUGGUAAGGUAACGGCUUACCAAGGCAACGAUGCCUAGCCGACCUGAGAGGGUGAUCGGCCACACUGGAACUGAGACACGGUCCAGACUCCUACGGGAGGCAGCAGUAGGGAAUCUUCCGCAAUGGGCGAAAGCCUGACGGAGCAACGCCGCGUGAGUGAUGAAGGUCUUCGGAUCGUAAAACUCUGUUAUUAGGGAAGAACAUAUGUGUAAGUAACUGUGCACUUCUUGACGGUACCUAAUCAGAAAGCCACGGCUAACUACGUG